CGUCCACCGAACGGUCUGCAGGCGAUCCGCGUCGGUCGCGCUGGGUGGUAUGGUUCCCCAGAGGCCGGUUCUUGUGCUGCCUACCCCCUUCAGGGGAAGAGUUCCAAACUCGAUGUAAGCCUCCAUCCGGCGCCCUCCAAAGGGCGCGGGAGGACAACGKAGCACCCCCCGCGUUCCACCGAGCCUCCUCGGUCGCGUGGCCCGKGGGGACGUGUGAUGCUCUCGGACCCAGCGAACGCCGUGGGCGAGGACUCACGUCCCGGUCCCAAGUGAAGCAACGGUAUAACGCACGACGGCCGCUCCCGCCCCCCGACCGCCCCGGCGGCGCGGGGGCGAAGGCGCGGCGUCGCUGAGGAAUGCU
rnacentral:misc_RNA from 1 species